rnacentral:rRNA from 1 species
UACGUAGGGUGCGAGCGUUAAUCGGAAUUACUGGGCGUAAAGCGUGCGCAGGCGGUUUUGUAAGCCAGGUGUGAAAUCCCCGGGCUCAACCUGGGAAUGGCAUUUGGGACUGCAAGGCUGGAGUGCGGCAGAGGAGACUGGAAUUCCUGGUGUAGCAGUGAAAUGCGUAGAUAUCAGGAGGAAUACCGAUGGCGAAGGCAGGUCUCUGGGCCGAUACUGACGCUGAGGAGCGAAAGCAUGGGGAGCGAACAGG